rnacentral:rRNA from 1 species
AGAGUUUGAUCCUGGCUCAGAACGAACGUUGGCGGCGUGCUUAACACAUGCAAGUCGAACGAGAACGUCCCGGCUUGCCGGGAUUAGUAAAGUGGCGCACGGGUGAGUAACACGUGAGUAAUUUCCCUCUAAGCUUGGGAUAACAUUGCGAAAGCGGUGCUAAUACCGAAUAAGACCACGGUAUCACAUGAUACAGUGGGAAAAGGUGGCCUCUGUAUAUGCUAUCACUUGGAGAUAAGCUCGCGGACCAUUAGCUUGUUGGUAGGGUAACGGCCUACCAAGGCUAAGAUGGUUAGCUGGUCUGAGAGGAUGAUCAGCCACACUGGAACUGAGACACGGUCCAGACUCCUACGGGAGGCAGCAGUGGGGAAUAUUGCGCAAUGGGGGAAACCCUGACGCAGUGACGCCGUGUGAGUGAUGAAGGUUUUCGGAUCGUAAAGCUCUGUCAGAUGGGAAGAAUAAAGGCAGGGAAAAUAUUUCUGCCUGAUGACGUACCAUCAGAGAAGCACCGCUAACU